rnacentral:rRNA from 1 species
CAGCCGCCGCGGUAAUACCAGCCCCUCAAGUGGUGGGGAUGAUUAUUGGGCCUAAAGCGUCCGUAGCCUGCCGUGUAAGUUUCCCGUUAAAUCCAGCGUCUCAAGCGUUGGACCGCGGGAAAUACUGUACGGCUAGAGAGUGGGAGAGGUCAGCGGUAUUCUGGGGGUAGGGGCGAAAUCCUUUGAUCCCCGGAGGACCACCAGUGGCGAAGGCUGCUGUCUAGAACACGUCUGACGGUCAGGGACGAAAGCUGGGGUAGCGAACCGGAUUAGAUACCCGGGUAGUCCCAGCCGUAAACGAUGCAUGCUAGGUGUUGGGUUGGCCACGAGCCGCCCCAGUGCCGCAGGGAAGCCGUUAAGCAUGCCGCCUGGGAAGUACGAUCGCAAGGUUGAAACUUAAAGGAAUUGGCGGGGGAGCACCACCAGGCGUGAAGCCUGCGGUUUAAUUGGAGUCAACGCCGGGAACCUUACCGGGAGCGACAGCAGAGUGAAGGUCAGAUUGAAGAUCUUACCAGACGAGCUGAGAGGAGGUGCAUGGCCGUCGCCAGUUCGUGCCGUGAGGUGUUAUGUUAAGUCAUAUAACGAACGAGACCCGUGCCGCAUGUUGCCACCAGAAUCUAAAGGAUUGCUGAGCACUCUUGCGGGACCGCAGCCGAUAAGGCUGAGGAAGGUACGGGCAACGGCAGGUCAGUAUGCCCCGAAUCUCCCGGGCCACACGCGGGCUGCAAUGGUAUAGACAGAGGGCUGCCACCCCGAGAGGGGGAGCCAAUCCCUAAACUGUACCUCAGUUGGGAUCGAGGGCUGCAACCCGCCCUCGUGAACAUGGAAUGCCUAGUAACCGCCAGUCAUCAUCUGGCGGUGAAUACGUCCCUGCUCCUUGCACACACUGCCCGUCGAACCACCCGAAUGAGGUUUGGGUGAGGAAUGGUCGAAUGUUGGCCGUUUCGAACCUGGGCCUCGUAAGGAGGGUUAAGUCGUAACAAGGUAACCGUA